rnacentral:tRNA from 1 species
GGAAUGAUGGCUCAGUCAGCACAGCGCUUGCCUUACAAGCAUGAGGAUGAGGGCCUGGGUUUGAUACCCAGAAUCCA